GUGAGGUAACGGCUCACCAAGGCAUCGACGGGUAGCUGGUCUGAGAGGAUGGCCAGCCACACUGGGACUGAGACACGGCCCAGACUCCUACGGGAGGCAGCAGUGGGGAAUAUUGCACAAUGGGCGCAAGCCUGAUGCAGCGAUGCCGCGUGCGGGAUGAAGGCCCUAGGGUUGUAAACCGCUUUCAGUAGGGAAGAAAAUGACGGUACCUACAGAAGAAGGUGCGGCCAACUACGUGCCAGCAGCCGCGGUGACACGUAGGCACCAAGCGUUGUCCGGAUUUAUUGGGCGUAAAGAGCUCGUAGGCGGUUCAGUUAGUCGGGUGUGAAAACUCUGGGCUCAACCCAGAGACGCCACCCGAUACUGCUGUGACUAGAGUACGGUAGGGGAGUGGGGAAUUCCUGGUGUAGCGGUGAAAUGCGCAGAUAUCAGGAGGAACACCAGUGGCGAAGGCGCCACUCUGGGCCGUAACUGACGCUGAGGAGCGAAAGCAUGGGUAGCAAACAGGAUUAGAUACCCUGGUAGUCCAUGCCGUAAACGUUGGGCACUAGGUGUGGGUCUCAACUAACGAGAUCCGCGCCGUCGCUAACGCAUUAAGUG
rnacentral:rRNA from 1 species